GACGAACGCUGGCGGCGUGCUUAACACAUGCAAGUCGAACGCUGAAGCCUAGCUUGCUGGGUGGAUGAGUGGCGAACGGGUGAGUAACACGUGAGUAACCUGCCCCCUUCUUUGGGAUAACGCCCGGAAACGGGUGCUAAUACUGGAUAUUCACUGAUCUUCGCAUGGGGGUUGGUGGAAAGGUUUUUUCUGGUGGGGGAUGGGCUCGCGGCCUAUCAGCUUGUUGGUGGGGUGAUGGCCUACCAAGGCUUUGACGGGUAGCCGGCCUGAGAGGGUGACCGGUCACAUUGGGACUGAGAUACGGCCCAGACUCCUACGGGAGGCAGCAGUGGGGAAUAUUGCACAAUGGGCGGAAGCCUGAUGCAGCGACGCCGCGUGAGGGAUGGAGGCCUUCGGGUUGUAAACCUCUUUCGCUCAUGGUCAAGCCGCAACUUUGGGUUGUGGUGAGGGUAGUGGGUAAAGAAGCGCCGGCUAACUACGUGCCAGCAGCCGCGGUAAUACGUAGGGCGCGAGCGUUGUCCGGAAUUAUUGGGCGUAAAGGGCUUGUAGGCGGUUGGUCGCGUCUGCCGUGAAAUCCUCUGGCUUAACUGGGGGGCGUGCGGUGGGUACGGGCUGACUUGAGUGCGGGUAGGGGAGACUGGAACUCCUGGUGUAGCGGUGGAAUGCGCAGAUAUCAGGAAGAACACCGGUGGCGAAGGCGGGUCUCUGGGGCCGUUACUGACGCUGAGGAGCGAAAGCGUGGGGAGCGAACAGGAUUAAAUACCCUGGUAGUCCAAGGGCGAAUUCCCCGUGGAUAUCAGCUUGUCGAUACCGUCGCCAAAAGAGGGUGAAGCAUUGACCCAAAUUUUGUUUCCUAUAAUGAGGGUUAUUAA
rnacentral:rRNA from 1 species